rnacentral:rRNA from 1 species
CAGGAUGAACGCUGGCGGUAUGCUUAACACAUGCAAGUCGAACGGAUUCUUAGGAAUCAGUGGCGGACGGGUGAGUAACACGUGAAAACCUGCCUCUAGGACGGGGAUAACAGAGGGAAACUUCUGCUAAUUCCCGAUGAGCCUGCGGGUAAAAGGAUUUAUCGCCUAGAGAGGGGUUCGCGUCCGAUUAGCUAGUUGGUGGGGUAAAGGCUCACCAAGGCUGCGAUCGGUAGCUGUUCUGAGAGGAAGAACAGCCACACUGGGACUGAGACACGGCCCAGACUCCUACGGGAGGCAGCAGUGGGGAAUUUUCCGCAAUGGGCGAAAGCCUGACGGAGCAAUACCGCGUGAGGGAAGAAGGUCCUUGGAUCGUAAACCUCUUUUCUCAGGGAAGAAGUUCUGACGGUACCUGAGGAAUAAGCCUCGGCUAAUUCCGUGCCAGCAGCCGCGGUAAUACGGAAGCCCCAAGCGUUGUUCGGAAUCACUGGGCUUAAAGAGCGUGUAGGCGGGAUGGUAAGUACUUUGUGAAAGCCCCGGCUUCAAUCCGGGAAUUGCUUGGUAUACUGCUAUCCUUGAGGCAGGUAGGGGUGACUGGAACCUUAGGUGGAGCGGUGAAAUGCGUAGAUAUCUAAGGGAACACCUGUGGCGAAAGCGGGUCACUAGGCCUGUCCUGACGCUGAGACGCGAAAGCGUAGGGAGCGAACGGGAUUAGAUACCCCGGUAGUCUACGCCGUAAACGAUGCGCACUAGGUUCGAGAACCUCUGACGGUUUUCGUGCCGAAACAAAAGCGAUAAGUGCGCCGCCUGGGGAGUACGGCCGCAAGGCUAAAACUCAAAGGAAUUGACGGGGGCUCACACAAGCGGUGGAGCAUGUGGAUUAAUUCGAAGCAACGCGAAGAACCUUACCUGGGUUUGACAUGCAUGGAUGCCCUCUUGGAAACAGGAGUAAGCUGCCUUCGGGUGAAACAUGCACAGGUGCUGCAUGGCUGUCGUCAGCUCGUGCUGUGAAGUGUCGGGUUAAGUCCCUUAACGAGCGAAACCCCUGUCGCUAGUUGCCAGCGGUUCGGCCGGGAACUCUAGCGAGACUGCCGGCGUUAAGCCGGAGGAAGGUGGGGACGACGUCAAGUCAUCAUGGCCUUUAUGCCCAGGGUGUCACACGUGCUACAAUGGGGCGUACAGAGCGACGCAAGACCGUGAGGUGGAGCAAAUCGCACAAAGCGCUCCUCAGUUCGGAUUGGGGUCUGCAAUUCGACCCCAUGAAGUCGGAAUCGCUAGUAAUCGCGCAUCAGCCAUGGCGCGGUGAAUGAGUUCCUGAGCCUUGUACACACCGCCCGUCAAGUCAUGGAAGCUGGGAGUUCCCGAAGUCGCCAC